UGGAAUAGUUAAAUACUCUUCCUUUUUGCGGGCGCUUGUAUUCAGCUGAGAUGUUGUACAGGGUUUUGGUACUGCUGGUUUUGACUGCUGGUUAUGCACAGCUCUUGUGGGGCUCUGAGUGUCCGCGCUGGUGGCCGGUUUUGUAUAUGUGGCUGGUUUCAGUGUUUGGGUCUCGGCGGUCGGAGCAGUGUGGGGGGGCUCUCUUGAAAGGUGACCUGGGGGCGGCUUUUUUGUGGGAUGGCGGGUCUGGGGACCGUCUGGGUAUGGGUGCUUGCUGGUGUGUAGGCUUCCUAUAGACCAGGUUUCUUAAACUUUUUGGUGUGG
rnacentral:lncRNA from 1 species